CAAUUUUAACAAUACAGAGAAGAUUAGCAUUGUCCUUGCAUAAAGAUGACACGCUUUACAAAGAGAUUUAACCAUUUUUUUUGCAAUAUAUUGUAGAAGACUCUCACUACUACUCUUGUC